rnacentral:lncRNA from 1 species
AACAGUCAGCUAAGUGGCUCUCUAAGCUCCUUGAGAAAGCUCCUAUUCAGUCCAAGGUUGAUUUGGAAUCAAGGAAGGAGUUAUAAAUGAUCGGAGAAGAAACUAUAAUAUCUCUGUUUAACCGUUCAUAUUAUGUAAUGUGUGUGUUCCUUUGUAUCCCCUAAAGAGUUUAAGCCACAGUAUAUGUAGUUAAUCAAUAAAUAAAGAAGAACCUUGUGUCACGCGUUAGCUAGCAAAGAACAAGUUGCUUACGUAAGUUGUGUUCUUUUAUAUCUUUAAAAGAGUGUAAGCCAAUGAUAUAUGUAGUUAUGUAAUAGUAAUCAGUAAUCUUGUGUUACACGUUAGGUCUGAAAAGGAAUAACUUAAUCAGUAAUCUAGUGUUACACGUUAGGUCUGAAAAGAAACAUCUUAUGUACAGUAAAACUUCUAUAAAUUAAUAAUGUUGGGACUACACCAAAACUAUAUUUUUUUAUUAAUUUAUAGAGAUAUUAAUUUAUCGAUAUACUAAUUGAACCAAAAACUCAAUUUGAGACUACAAAAUUAUAUUAUUUUAUAGAGAUUUUUAGUGUAUAUUAAUUUAUAGAGUAUUAAUUUAAAGAGGUUAUAUUGUAUUUGUGUUCUUUUAUAUCAUCAAAAGAGUGUAAGCAAAUGAUAUUAAGUAGUUAUCAGUAAUCAAUAAAAAAUAAGAACCUUGUGUCACAUGUUGUUACAUUACAGUUAUGUCUAAAUCAAAUCCCAAAGAAACCACAAAUCUUCACCGUUUAAAAGGCCUUUCAAACCUCUGAGACUUAUGAACCUUCAUCUUCACCAAAGGAGCUUUCCUCGCCAAAGCUUUCCAAAUCAUCUGAACUCCAUAAUCUCCACCAUCAUCUUUAGACGGGAAACGCAAAUCAAAGUACCUCUCAACUUCUUUCAACCGCCGCCACAUUUUAUUCCACUCUUCUCUCCCAAUACUCCUCACAAGACCCAUUAGAAAACCUUUCUUUAAAGCGUAUGAUGAUUGGACAAAGAGACAGAACUCGUUGUAGUUAAAAACAUCCUCGUAAGGUAACUCAAUGUCAUCGCUGAUGAUCACCGGAGUACAAUGACUAGCUAUGGCAUCAAAGUGGCGGUUCGAAGAUGGAGUAUCUCCAGCUAUGUUAAGAGAAAACUUCGACGAUCUCAUUCCUUCUCCAGCUUUAGUUAUGCCGUGGUUUCUUACUCUACCAAAGGAGAAGUGGACGUGUUUUUCUUCUUUCAAAAGGUCAUAUAGUUCAUGUCUCACGAAUCCACCCUAUAAGAUUGUUACUCAAAGCAGUAAUUUAGAUUUGUAAUGUUCAUAGUGAUUUUAUAUAAAUAGAAUUUUGUUGAUUCUGGAACUGACUUAAAUCUUAGUACACCAGUAAAAAUAUACUGAGAGUGAGAAUGAAGACAUAAUCAGGAAAAAAAAAGACGAGCUUUAUUACUAAACGACACUCUCUUGUCUUUAAUUUUUUUAAUUUGCUCCACUUUAAUUCUAUAUUUACAUAGCUGCCAUUAUUAUUAUUUUACAUUUUAAGUUACUUUUUAAAUCGAUAUACACAAGCUAUACUUUAAUUAUUCUUAGACUUCUAAAAAAAGAAUAACAUGCAACGGUUUUGAAAAAGUAAACAUGAAUCCUAUGAUGCAACGAAAAAUAAUAUGGUAAAAUCACCAAAUUUGAUUUGCAUAUUAUAAUGUAACUAAGUAGGCCUACAAUACGUUGGGCCAUGAAAAAGGCCCAUAAGUAAUAGUCUAUUGGUUCUUAACAAAACAGAAAUUAGAAGGCCCACAACUCUUGCAAUACUUUCUAACAAACGAAGGAAAAUAAAAACUUACAAAUUCAGAAUAGACAUAAAAUAUGUGGGAGGCUACAUACGCAAAAGGUUAAUACUCUUAGACAACAACAAAAAUCGUAAAAGGUAACAUAUAGAAUAGUAUAUAAAUAUUAGUGAUCCACAUGGUAGCCAAUGGGAAAAUGGGUGGAGUGAGUUUGAAAAAGAUCCAUAUGCUAAGUCUCAAAUAUAUGUUUUCUUCUUUAAGUUCAGAAUUCAAGAACUAACCAAACAUGCGUCUCCUACUCAGUGGUUAUAGUGGUCGGUGUUGUCGCUUAGUGGCUUUAUUUUAUUAUUAAUACGAUUAUUAGUAUAUAUAGUAAUAAUAUAGAAUAUUCUUCACUCGUUAUUAUAACUUUGAUUUUUUGGUUCAAAGAUCAAAAACAUCUCAUGGCAUUACAUGGAGCAGUCUGGUUAGUUUUUUUUUUCUUGUUCUGCUCCUUCUCUAGUCGAUGGAUUUGGUGACAUAACCAUUUGCUUUUAUGUUGUUUUUUUUGUAGUGAGGAUAAGGUUAAUGUUAAAGGGUACUUUGUGUGGUCGCUUAUGGAUGGACUAGAGUGGGAAGAUGGAUACAAGACUAGGUCUGGACUCUACUAUGUAGACUAUGCUAACAACAUGGGAAGGCACGAGAAACAGUCAGCUAAGUGGCUCUCUAAGCUCCUUGAGAAAGCUCCUAUUCAGUCCAAGGUUGAUUUGGAAUCAAGGAAGGAGUUAUAAAUGAUCGGAGAAGAAACUAUAAUAUCUCUGUUUAACCGUUCAUAUUAUGUAAUGUGUGUGUUCCUUUGUAUCCCCUAAAGAGUUUAAGCCACAGUAUAUGUAGUUAAUCAAUAAAUAAAGAAGAACCUUGUGUCACGCGUUAGCUAGCAAAGAACAAGUUGCUUACGUAAGUUGUGUUCUUUUAUAUCUUUAAAAGAGUGUAAGCCAAUGAUAUAUGUAGUUAUGUAAUAGUAAUCAGUAAUCUUGUGUUACACGUUAGGUCUGAAAAGGAAUAACUUAAUCAGUAAUCUAGUGUUACACGUUAGGUCUGAAAAGAAACAUCUUAUGUACAGUAAAACUUCUAUAAAUUAAUAAUGUUGGG